GGAGGAGGCAUCCAAAGGGAUCGCAUUGAUCCAAAAUCCAACCUUUCAUAUUCUCUCUUUCGGAUCAUGCUAUCCCUUUGGAUUUCUCCUU
rfam:Vigna radiata var. radiata cultivar VC1973A chromosome 3, whole genome shotgun sequence